rnacentral:rRNA from 1 species
CCUACGGGAGGCAGCAGUGAGGAAUAUUGGUCAAUGGACGAGAGUCUGAACCAGCCAAGUAGCGUGAAGGAUGACUGCCCUAUGGGUUGUAAACUUCUUUUAUAUGGGAAUAAAACAGGGUAUGCAUACCCUCUUGUGUGUACCCUAUGAAUAAGGAUCGGCUAACUCCGUGCCAGCAGCCGCGGUAAUACGGAGGAUCCGAGCGUUAUCCGGAUUUAUUGGGUUUAAAGGGAGCGUAGGUGGAUUGUUAAGUCAGUUGUGAAAGUUUGAGGCUCAACCGUAAAAUUGCAGUUGAAACUGGCAGCCUUGAGUACAGUAGAGGUGGGCGGAAUUCGUGGUGUAGCGGUGAAAUGCUUAGAUAUCACGAAGAACUCCGAUUGCGAAGGCAGCUUACUGGACUGCAACUGACACUGAUGCUCGAAAGUGUGGGUAUCAAACAGGAUUAGAUACCCCAGUAGUC